UUAAGCCAUGCGAGUCAAAUGUUCUUCGUGAACAUGGCGUACUGCUCAGUAACACGUGGAUAACCUGCCCUUAGGACUGGCAUAACCCCGGGAAACUGGGGAUAAUUCCGGAUAGUUCAUGGUAGCUGGAAUGCUCCAUGAUCGAAAGCUAUUGCGCCUAAGGAUGGGUCUGCGGUCUAUCAGGUAGUAGUGGGUGUAAUGUACCUACUAGCCGACGACGGAUACGGGUUGUGGGAGCAAGAGCCCGGAGAUGGAUUCUGAGACAUGAAUCCAGGCCCUACGGGGCGCAGCAGGCGCGAAAACUUUACAAUGCGGGAAACCGCGAUAAGGGGACACCGAGUGCCAGCAUCUUAUGUUGGCUGUCCGCAUGUAUAAAUCACAUGUGUUAGCAAGGGCCGGGCAAGACCGGUGCCAGCCGCCGCGGUAACACCGGCGGCCCGAGUGGUGGCCACUAUUAUUGGGUCUAAAGGGUCCGUAGCCGGUUUGGUCAGUCUUCCGGGAAAUCUGACGGCUUAACCGUUAGGCCUUCGGGGGAUACUACCAGGCUUGGGACCGGGAGAGGUAAGAGGUACUACGGGGGUAGGAGUGAAAUCUUGUAAUCCUCGUGGGACCACCAGUGGCGAAGGCGUCUUACCAGAACGGGUCCGACGGUGAGGGACGAAAGCUGGGGGCACGAACCGGAUUAGAUACCCGGGUAGUCCCAGCCGUAAACUAUGCUCGCUAGGUGUCAGGGACGGUGUGACCGUUUCUGGUGCCGCAGGGAAGCCGUGAAGCGAGCCACCUGGGAAGUACGGUCGCAAGGCUGAAACCUAAAGGAAUUGGCGGGGGAGCACUACAACGGGUGGAGCCUGCGGUUUAAUUGGACUCAACGCCGGAAAGCUCACCGGGGGCGACAGCAAUAUGUAGG
rnacentral:rRNA from 1 species